ACAGCUGCGAAAUCAUUAUUCGCAGUUGGUUUUGAACAGUGAGCUCCGUGUCUGGGCAAGACCUGUCUCCUCCGCCCGUCCUGAAGGGCAUUUGGAUUGGUCAUCUUCCGAUGUUUGGCAGCCUCCUCACUCUUCCUGACGUCACAUCAAAGCAGGCAAUCUGACAUCUUAAAGAUUUUGAAGAGGAAACAUUUCAAAGGAACACAGGCUGUAAAAGAAGAAAUCUUCAUGGACUCUGUGUGGGUGGUGCGCCAAUCCAUCCUUCAUUGAGGCCAUGAGAUCUUCUAAUCCCUUGGGUGUUCCCAUGUUCUCCAGUGAGAACUCCUCCACUUCAUUUGGUGCCAUGGGAAAAACCUGAAGGACAGGAAGAAUUGCUCCCGACCUUGUGGCUUUUUCCAGGAUUGCAGUGCCUCUUACAGACCAUGACAAUUGGAGAUCAUUCGUGUUGUCUUUCGGAGUCGAACCAAAGAACACGCUUCCUCAUUCUCUGGUGUUUUAGCGCCUGAUCAUUUUUAUAUUUGUUUCUGUUGCUUGUGCCUUUCAACCAUUGUAUGUGAUCAUGAGACGUCCUUGAAGUUUUCCAGCACGACUUGCAGGCAUCCGGACUCCCUGGGGACUCGCCCAUGGCUCGGCGGGCCAGCAGCCCAAGGGCAUUACGAUGAGGCACUGCAUUAAUUGCUGCAUCCAGCUGUUGCCCGACGAAGCACACACACAGCAGGUCAGCUGCCGAGGAGGCCCCCAUCACAGUCGCCGGGAGUGCCCCAUGUGCAAAGGAGAAAACAAAAUUGUGUUUCGAGUGGACGGUAAGCAGAUGAACUUGCUUGCCGUUCUCGAAGUGAGGGCUGAAGGGAAUGAGAGCUGGAGUGGGUUUCUGCGCUUCAAGAAGGGGAAGCGAUGCAGCCUCGUUUUUGGAUUGAUAAUAAUGACGUUGGUGAUGGCUUCUUACAUCCUUUCUGGGGUCCACCAAGAGCUUCUGAUCUCAUCACCUUUCCAUUACGGAGCCCUCCCCAGCAAUCCCAGCUUGAUGGAUGGUGAAAAUCCGAGUGACACAAAAGAGCAUCAUCACCAACCCUCUGUAAAUAAUAUUUCGUACGUGAAGGACGAUCCAAGCAUUAAAUUAAUUAUCAGCAGCAUCACAGCCAGGAUUGAGUUCACAACCAGACAGCUCCCAGACGUGGAAGAUCUCAAGAAGCAGGAAUUGCACAUGUUUUCCGUCAUCCCGCACAAAUUCCUCCCCAACAGUAAGAGCCCCUGUUGGUAUGAGGAGUUCACGGGGAGGAACACCACCGACCCCUAUCUGACCAACUCCUACGUGCUCUACUCCAAGCGCUUCCGCUCCACCUUCGACGCCCUGCGCAAGGCCUUCUGGGGCCACCUGUCCCACGCGCACGGCAAGCACUUCCGCCUCCGCUGCCUGCCGCACUUCUACAUCAUCGGGCAGCCCAAGUGCGGCACCACUGACCUCUACGACCGCCUGCGGCUGCACCCGGAAGUGAAGUUCUCCGCCAUCAAGGAGCCGCACUGGUGGACCCGGAAGCGCUUCGGAAUCGUCCGCCUGAGAGAUGGUCUGCGGGACCGCUAUCCCGUGGAAGAUUAUCUGGACCUCUUUGACCUGGCUGCACACCAGAUUCAUCAAGGACUGCAGGCCAGCUCUGCAAAGGAACAGAGCAAGAUGAAUAGAAUCAUUAUCGGGGAGGCCAGCGCCUCCACCAUGUGGGAUAACAACGCCUGGACGUUCUUCUACGACAACAGCACGGAUGGCGAGCCCCCCUUUCUGACCCAGGACUUCAUCCACGCCUUUCAGCCAGACGCGAAACUGAUCGUCAUGCUGAGGGACCCUGUGGAGAGGUUGUACUCAGACUAUCUCUACUUUGCAAGUUCGAAUAAAUCUGCAGAUGACUUCCAUGAGAAAGUGACAGAAGCGCUGCAGCUGUUUGAAACUUGCGUGCUGGGUUAUUCACUGCGCGCCUGUGUCUACAACAACACUCUUAACAACGCCAUGCCUGUGAGGCUGCAGGUCGGGCUGUACGCCGUGUACCUUCUGGACUGGCUCACGGUCUUUAAUAAAGAACAGUUCCUCAUUCUCCGCCUGGAAGACCACGCCUCUAACGUCAAGCACACCAUGCACAGGGUCUUCCAGUUUCUCAGCCUCGGGCCCUUAAGUGAGAAACAAGAGGCCUUGAUGACCAAGAGCCCCGCAUCCAAUGUGCGGCGUCCCGAGGACCGGAACCUGGGGCCCAUGUGGCCGGUCACACAGAGGCUCCUGCGGGACUUCUACGGGCCUUUUAACGCCCGGCUGGCGCAGGUCCUCGCCGACGAGGCCUUCCUGUGGAAGAAGACGUGACGCCGGGUUCCCGCUGCCACCAUGAUUUCCAUGCUUUGAAAAUCUCUCUUGGUGGGGAACCCUUUCGCUCAGAGCCUGGAGAAAACCCUUCCCUGGCCCACGUUUAUGGAAACCAGUUCAGAAUUUCCUUUGUGAUGUUAAACAGCCCGGCGAUGGACCCUUCACCGAGCCUCGGAUGGAGGCUGUUGGAAAUUCCACUUGGGAAAGGGUCCCCUUCUGCUCCGAGAGUGGCUGGGGUCCGGGAUGAGGCCGGCGGACGCUGGGCUGGGUGCCGGGAGGGAAGCGUGGAGUCUGGGCUUUGACAGUUCUGGGUGGAGGUCCCGCCCCGGGGCUGGCCAGACGUACACUAUACAUUCAGCUUCGAAACCCUCUGUCUGGAUCACUAACCUCAUUUUGGCGGAGAAUGGCGGCUCUCAUUUUUUUUUCCCUUUUACCCCAACGUCAGCCCUUCCGUCUCUUCAGAUUUCAACCCUGUUAACUUCACUGUUGACGAGAAAAAAGACAAAAGUCGAUUUUUGGUAGCACAUUUGUGUCUGGGACCUCCUCCCCUUCUGGCCUUGUGGACUUCACUUAUGUUUAACAGAAAACGAACGCAUUUAAAACAAACCACUUUCUACGUUUCACUGGCUGGAGUUUUCUUUUCUGGCCCUUUAGAUGUUUUCUCAAGGUUUUUUUCAGUUUCUAAUUGGAAUAUAACUUCAGUUUAAAAUCGGAAGGGAAAGUUUUGCUGUUAAUGCCAGACUGAGCACCUCGAAGGAACUGAUGGAAAAUCUGGGCAUCUUGGCCGUCGCCGUGCAUCUGAGGUCCUCAGAGAACCGCAGCCGUUUGAGGUUUUAGUUGCAGGUGCGACAGGCUCCACUGCUCUGCCUUUCCUCCCAAGUGAACUUGUUAGCACAUUCUCCGCCGUGUGUGGACAGAGGUCCUUCCUCACUCAACGAACUGUAGGAUGCUUUUUUCUGAUUCGGAAGCACAGCACGUGAGCUAUGCCUGGGCCAGGCAUGCUGUGCUGGGAUUUGGAACGAGAAUGCCGGGAGCUGUGUCCUUGACAGAACUUCCUGGGCCACUUGGCAUCCUGGUUUACUGUUGGAUGGGCUGAAGGUCUUGCUGUUACUUGGAGGUGAUGGGAAAGAUUGAACACAGUCCUUGCGCACAGCCCCAGGCGGGACCCCAACCAAGCCUUGCACGUGGUCGUCAAGGGAAGCUUCUGCGAAUCAGAGCUCCCCAAGUCGAGGUCCCGGAUGCACACCAGUCAGAGAAUGCAAAUGCCCGCACUCCCAGCCGCCAGUCGUGGGGGUGAGGAUUUGCUGAGCUGUCCAGCCCUAGUGCCGUUGGAGAUGGGAUGCUCAGCCCACUUGAAGGCGUGUGGAGGGCUCUGAAUGGCACGGCUGGGCUGUUUCUGCUGUGAAGGAGCCAUGGGCCUGAACACCCGCUUUCAGGGACAGGCCCCCAUUUCUCUCCCGGUGGCCCUCGGAGCAGCAGCCAGCAGGCAAACCUGGCCUGAGCACAAGUGGUUCUCAAAGUGUGGUCCAAGGAUGAGGGUGACCCUCGAGGCCCUUUGGGGAGAUCCACCAGUCAAAACUAAGACUCUGCACGCCCAUACCAAGACGUCAUUCGCCCUUUAUCCCCUCAUUCCCUCAUGAUGUACAAGUGAUCAUGUCCAGUGGCUGAGGCCCACUCUGAUGCCUGGUGGACCGUGCUUGGGCUUUGAAAUUCUUUCAGCUUUAAUUUCUAAUAUAGUAAAUACUGAUAGAUGUGAACCACCUAAACAAAAGCUCUUUGGGAAUCUUCAGUAAUUUUUGAGAGUGUAAAGGAGUCUUCAUUCUUAACAGUUUGAGAACUGCUGGUUUCUAUAUUUAUUAAAUCACAUAUUUCUGAUAUCAAGCACAACUGGCAUAAGAAAGACUUGGGAACAAACAUAACUGACUUGUAAUAAACUCAGAAUUGACUGGAAGGCAUUUUGCAGAAUGGCCGAGAGCACUGAGCAUGCCCUGAACAUCAGCAAGGGUGCCUAGGGGACGAGGAGGCAGGCAUCUGUCAGUGGGGAGGCCGGAUAAGCGGUAUCUACGGUGUAAGUGGUGACAGCAGUAACACGGGUGCCAGCUGUUUACUGAGCACAGGCCGAGCGCCAGGCCCCGGGCUCAGUGCAGCUCCACGUGUUGCCUUAGAUCCUCACCACCACCCUAGGAGAGAGGUCCUAUCUUUCUUCUGGUUCUGUCAUUGCACAGGUGGGGUAACUGAGGCUCAGAGGGGCCAAACAACGAGCCCCAGGGCCCAGCCCCUAAGGAGCAGAGUUAGUCCUUGAUCUCAGGGCUAUUGAUCUCCAGGGCCCGAGUCUUCACCUGCACGUCUCACCUCUGAGUCCCUGAAGUCUCUGAGUUUCUAAGGAGGCAGAGCCUCAGGUGAAAUCAGGGGGCUGCUUGUACCUUCGGGACAGUCUGGGCUGGGAGGCCGACACACGCACUGGGGACGAGGUCAGGGCCAGGUGGCCUCUUCAAGGUCAUUUUCUUGUGGAAGCAGCAGAACUGACCCAGACAGCACCCCACCCCACCUCCCGGCACCCCGUCGGUGCCCAGCCUUGCAGGGGCCCUUGGGCAGGGACUCGAUCCUGGCCUCUGCCGCCCUCUUACUGCAUCCCUUCUGUGUCCUGUGUCCACCUGGAUGGGAGGAAGCUGAGCUGCGUGUGUGCUGACCCUCAGGAGGAGCCCCUGACUAUUCGGGAGGUGGAACAGGUGGGGCCAGCUGCUCCAGGGGCCCUUCCGUCUCACCGUCUGAGGCUUUCUCAGAGCCCGGGAAUCCUGGGCUGGUCCCAUCCUGCCAGUUCUGAGGUUGUUCAGGGGCCCCCUGUGGCCCCCUGUGGCCAGCCGCUGCUGCUGCUGCUGUGGGUUGGAGCCGUGGUUGAGGAAUGGGGAGUGGCAGCUGCCCUCCACAUCUCCGAGGGGCAGCUGGACAUCCCAAAUGAGGGGCCACGGUCACCAUGGAGAUCUUCUGUUUACUCCCGCCUCCACGUGAGAUAAUCUGCAGAACUGCCGUUUUCUACACUUUCAACAUAGUGGAAUUCAGGAAAAUUCCAUGGCCAGGCCAGCCUCCAGUUCUAAAGGCAGCAACCCAGGCAGCCUGCACAAGACCUCAGGAUGCAGGAGAACUUCUCUGGCCUCUAAUCUCCUUCUUCCCCUAAGAGAGCACAUGCUUCUCCUCUGCUCCACGUUUUCUGCCUCCAUGCCUUUGCUCAAGCCAAUGCACCACCAGGAGGGCCCACCCUCCCCACUGUUCAACUGAGCCAGCUUCUUAUCCCACCCCAGGGCCAAGGGCAAGUGUUACCUCCUCCUCCAUGCUGGCCUCCUGGAUUCCACCUUGCCUCCUGCCUCCCACCUCCUGACCUGCUUGAGGCCUCUUCCCCUUCUUAGUCUCUCUCCCAUCUUGUGUGGUGUUGAUUACUUUCUACGUGACUCUGCAGUCAUUUGUGUGUUUUCAUCUCGCACCCAGACAGCAAAUCCUGGGGGCACACAGGCUGCUCCUUCCCCCACCCUCAGAUACCCCAGCCGUGGAGUGAUGUCCCCAAGAGGGAGGCAGUGAGUGCCUAGAGAGAGAACUGACCUGGGAGCUAGGGAUCUGGAUGACACUGAGCCAGUGACUUAACUUCUCUGAGCCUGUUUCCCCAGCUACUGAGCAGGGUGGGGGCCUGGAGGAUUUCAAGGGGCCCUUUCAGAUCUGCCCUUCUCUUUGUUGCCUUUUGAAGACUUGACACUUUCCCCAAGCUGCUUACGAGCCCAAGGUGUUUUGCAGAGGAAGUGUCUGGAGAAGGGGUUGGGCCGCGAGUGACAAGCCCCCCGCAACUCUUCUGGGAUUCCAGGAUGGCUGCCCUGGGAGCAGAAGGCACCGAAACACAGCCCUGUGCUGUCCCCGUGUGUCCUCUCUAGGCACUGCACCCAGGGGGCUUGUCUCAGCCAGCCUUUCCAAGGGCUACCCUGGCAGAUGCACAUCUGCCCGCUUGACCCUCCGCUGUCUUCUUGCUCAACGCUCACCUGGGCCAGGGAGCUCCUGGGGACUAGCAGUAACCCUAAUAAGAGGGCGUCCAAGGGUGGAAGGACUGUGGUCUCAGAUCAGCCAACCAGGAGCCUUGUUCUGGAGGUGCCAUUAUGUGGCGAGAAGGAUGGUCGUAGGAGCCCCCAGAUGUGUUCACAUGUGCUUCUUGGUCUCCAGGCUCUCCCCCCGCCCCGACCUCCGCCGAGUGGCCUGCAGGCCGUGUAGGAUCACACCCACAGCGCCUGCAGGGAAAGGAUGGCUGGGAGAGGGCCAGCCUGGCUCUCCGUCAGGUGCUCCCGCCGCUCUAUCUGGCGCGGCCGGAGCACAGCUCCUAGUGGGCUGAGCUGAGACCCUUCUGCCCCUUUAGGACUGGUAGUGGUCAGGCACCUCCCCAGCCUCUCCCCAUCUUGAUCCUUCCCACGCGUAGGCCUCCCCUUCUCAACCCUCGUCCUCUAUGCCACCCUUCCUAAUACCCUGUCCUGAGCUGACCUGAACCUGGGUCUCGGGCACCCUCCUAGGACUGUGCAUGGCUCAAGAGGGCCCUGGGGGAGCCCUCACCCGCCCCAGGGGGACCUCAGACGCGGGAGUAUUGGUGACGGGAAGGGGCUGGGCUUGAAGCUUCUGCCUGCAGACUUGCAGAGCUCCACCCUCACCCGUCCCUGUUCUGCCUUCUCCACUCCUUCCAGCAUCACUUCCUUCCUGGGCUCUCCUCUCUCCUGCCUGCAAGAUGGCCCUCCUGGCUCCCGGCUCCAGGCCCCACCUCCAUAAGCAGUGCUCUGUGGCCUCUCAGCCCUAUGCAGGCAGGCUCCUCUGUUACCCUGGUCCUUCCCAGAUGUGGGGGAGGAGCUCAGGGGUCCUAGGGGACCCCCUCUCCCGGGGUGUCCUGUGCUGACCCCCAUCCUGCCUUAGUGUAGACGAGCUGAGGUCUGGGACCUCCACGUGGCAGUGGGUCCUCCUCUUCUUUUUUUAUUUUUUAAAAUUAAUUAAAUUUAUUUAUUUUUAGCUGUGUCGGGUCUUUGUUUCUGUGCGAGAGCUUUCUCUAGUUGCGGUGAGCAGGGGCCAUUCUUCAUUGCGGUGCGCGGGCCUCUCACUAUCGCGGCCUCUCUUGUUGCGGAGCACAGGCUCCGGACGCGCAGGCUCAGUAGUUGUGGCUCACGGGCCCAGUUGCUCCGCGGCAUGUGGGAUCCUCCCAGACCAGGGCUCGAACCCGUGUUCCCUGCACUGGCAGGCGGACUCUCAACCACUGCGCCACCAGGGAAGCCCGGUCCUCCUCUUCUUGACCUAGUCUACCAGGCAGACCUGACCUCUCCCCUGUCCCAUUUGCCUUCCAGCUGUUUCUGCUCUCUCCUCUCUCCGUCCCUUCUCCUCCUUCCUCCCAGCUUGCUCUUCCUCCAGCAGUGAGGUGCAUGCCGGACGGGGUGAGGCUGUGCUGGGCUGGGGCUGUGGUUCCAACAGGCAGGUCUGGAGCUGCUGCCACGGUGCAGCUCUGGGAAGGUCCAGGGUCUCGAUGACAAGCCAUGCUUAGCGUAACCCGGAUACAUCGCUGUGCUCACCGGGCCAGGAUGUUCAGGACUGGGUAACAAGCAAAGAGAACCAGCCCACUUUAUUAGCACCUGCCGCAGUUGUACCCCUCACUCUGCUUCUUCACAGCUCUCUUCCUCGGGCUUCUCCAUCCCAGAAGCUCCAGGGGGGGCUUCUUCCUCCCCAGCUGGGGGCUGCCCCUUCUGGAACAUGUGACUUUCUCAGCCCCUGCCUCAGCUGUGAGGUGACCCUGUCCAGGCUGCUCAUGUUUCAGUGGCCAGGACUUGUCACGUGCCCCCCUCCAGCCACGGGAUGGGCAGGCUGCUAUGAGCUGGAUGGAGAAUUGAUGUCGGGCGGGGCAUGUUCAGUGUCCCCCAGCUCCCUCAGGGCCCCCACUGGAUUCUACCCUGGCCCUUCUCACCCAUUCUCCCACCUGUCAGUCUCUUUCGGAUGUUUAACCUCUAUACCCGCACUGCAUUCUGUGAAAUUUCCUUCCAGUUAUGUCUCAGUUCACCAAAUCAUUCUAUUUCUCUACGUCACCAAUUCUGCUCUCUAAACUAUUAAUUUUUUAGUUUUUAAGUGACUUUUUUGGGGGGUGAUUUUCAAUUGUAGAAUGUCAAUUUGGUUCAUUUUCAAGUCCAUCUGUUAUUUUUUCAUAGAACCUUGUUUUUUAGAUUUUUUUUAAAGAUUUUUUUUGAUGUGGACCAUUUUUAAAGUCUUUAUUGAAUUUGUUACAAUAUUGCUUCUGUUUUAUGCUUUUUUGGUUUUUUGGCCAUGAGGCAUGUGGGAUCUUAGCUCUCCAAUCAGGGAUCGAGCCCGCACCCCCUGCAUUGGAAGGCAAAGUCUUAACCACUAGACCACCAGGGAAGUCCCUUAAAUAUGGUUUUUAAUUCCUUCUUUAUGUCUUUAAUCAUUUUAAACAUUUUAAACAUGAUUUAUUAUUUCAUUUGAACUGUUAUUAUAAGUGCUUGGGGGAUUAAUCAUUCUGUUUAUUUUUUAAUCUGCUGACUUUCCCUUGUGAAUUGUUUCCUUGUGUAUUUUGUGAUUUUAAAAAAUUAUUUUGAGUUUUUCUUGGGGUGUAUUACCAUUUGUUUUCUAGGGGAGGCCCACAUGCCCUGGGAUGGGAGGUAUUUCCAGGAAAGGAUUUUAUCUUUGCUUUGGUCUGGAUCCAAGGGAUCAUUUCUCUAAAAACAAAUUUUGCAAUAACUUUUUGGUUUGGGAUGUCCUUGCUUUAUGGGAAGUAUAAAUUAAAACUGUCCAUCUGGUUGGGUGGGGUGGGUUUGGAGCUUCCAUUUUGUUUGUUUUAUUCUCCAAAAAAUGUUUUAUUCUGGAAAAAAUCUGGCACAAUUUAUCCCAUUUUCCAUUUGUCCAUAAUGUGUAAAACCACUGAAAAGCCCAGUGAGAGGAUGGUUAUUAUCUGAUACUUAUUUGUUUCCUACAGUGUGGCGGUCUAACAUUCAAUUAACUAAAAUAGCAUUGGUCCUCAUAUCUACUUUCAGUUGAGAGCCAAUAUUUUGGAGCUUCCAAUUUUAAUGGGAACUUUUAUGCACCCUCAUCUUUUCUGAGCAGAGUCAAGCUUUGCUCCUGAGAUUGCGCUUGUAUUUUCUGAGUCUUUCUUAUAAGGAAGGGCCAGUCUUCCAGGGACCUGACUUUAUUCAGAGUACCCAGUUCACCUCUGCCUCUUCUAUGUCAGGGAUGUAUUUCCUCUCUUCCCUGAGUGUUAAAACCCAGCCCCUAGCCCUUAGGACACAUAUUUAUAUUUGACCCCUCCCUGGGCUUCUGUGGUGUUGGCUCAUGAAUGAUCCUUCUGGCUUGCGGUUCCUACUUUAUUUCUGGCUCAAGAAGUGCCCUCCUUCCUUCUUUCAAACUUGCCUAUGAAUUAGAAAGAAAUUGACAUGUUUUGGGGGUGCCGAGAUGGCUAGCAGGGCAGAGAUGGGAAUUUUCUAGUCAACUUUUGUUAUUAAUUCCUAGAUUAAUUUUGCAGUGGUCAGAAGACAUCUCUGAAUGAUGUAAAUCCUUUAAAAUUUGUGAGGUUGGCUUUGUGACCCAGCAUAUGGUUCAUUUUCUUAAAUAUUUGUGCAUUUAAAGAGUGCGUAUUCUGUCAUUGUUGGAUGUAAUAUAGUUCAAGCUAAUUGUGCUGUUCACACUUAUAUCCUUAUUGCUUUCCUAUUUUUGUUGAGAGGCAUGUGCUAAUGUCUUCUAACAUUAUUAUAGAUUUGUCUCUUUCUCUUUUUGGUUUAGUGCUUAUCUGGCAUAGUUUUUUUCCCCAACCUUUACUUUCACCAUUUUUUGCUUGUUUUUGAGGUAGAUCUCUUGUAACCAAAAUAUAAACAAGUUUUAAAAAUCUGAUGUGAAGUUUUAGUCUUAUUUGGAGUAUUUAGUCCAUUUACAUUUAAUUUAACGAUUAAUAUAUUUGGAUUUAUAGCUACACUUUUACUAUUUGCUUUCUAUUUGUUGUACCUAUUUAAUGUUGUCUGCUCCCCUUCCCUUUCCCCCUGGUAUUUGGCCAUUUGGUCCUGUUCCUUGGCAUGCCUAGUAAUUUUUCAUUGAAUUCUGGGCAUCAUUCAUCCUUUUCUCUGAUGGGUGGAUAAACUGUGUGUGUAGGGGUGGGGCUUAGUCAUCUUAAUCCAAUCAGGAACUGAGUGGAUGCUAUUCAAGUACUGCUACUCAGGGCUGGGUGGCAGGAUUGGAACACCUCUGCGCAUGUCUGCUCCUACAGCAUGGUUUUAAGGUGUGUUCAUCAGGGCUCUUGCCCCAUGAUAGGUCCUGAACUCUAGUCCUUGUGUCCUCAGCACAGUGAGAAAAUUAAAAAACUUCACUUACUUUUCAGGCUCUGUGUUUACCUUUCUAGUUUUCAUCUUGUUCAGCUUCAGAAAUCUUCAGAUAUUUUGAGGGGGAAAUUGACUGAGAGCUGGGCUUAGUUCUUUGCCCCACUGCCACCCCCAAGAAUCUCAUUUUUGUCUUUCCAGGUCCAUAAGCCUACCAGCGUCUUUGUUAGUUUCCUUGAUUCCCCUGGUAGCUCUAACCUGGACCCCUUGCCUCUUGCUCUGUCCAGGAUUCCCGAGUGCCCUGAGUAGAAAAGUACACAUUUAUUAAAAAUUUUAAGUUUAAUACAAAAAUAAAGAAAAAAAUGUCAAGACCUAAUACUCAGCAAAUGAAGCUUGUUCAAGGUGCCAGUGCAGGACCCUGGCCUUUUAGGCUUGAUUGCUUCUCCAAUGCCUUCAAACAAAUGUUUCUUGGUGUGCCAUCAGCCUUCUUGUUGUCCUCAGUAUUGGUCCUCUGCAAGAUCUCCAAGAAACAGGAGUCCCUUUGUAUUAUGUUUCAACCAUUUUAUAUUUUGGGGUCUAUAUGUUACCCCAACCUUUCCUAUCCUAAUACAUAUUUUACCAGCAUUUCUAUAUAUUUUUAAGAGGAAGUCAUCCAUAAUAACUAGUCUUCCAGUUGGUUGAGCCAAAGGACCUUAUACUGAUUACAAUUAGAAAAUAUGAAGGACGUACUGUCAUUGGUCACGUGGUAUAGAAUACACAGUUAAGUACGUGUGAAGAGAAAUGUUUAAAAAUGAUAUGUCUUAUUAAAAAGAUAAUACACAUUUAUUAAACAUUUUAAGUUACUACAAAAAUAAAUAAAAAUAUGUCAAGACCUUGUACUAAGCCAGUGAAGCUUGCUCAUGUUGGAAACUCUGGACCCUGGCGUAGAACACAAAGCUCAGCGUUUUGCAUUCAUCGAGUCAGGGAGUUAUGCCAUUUAUCCAACAAAUCACUGUAAGUAUUGGCCCAUGGGAGUUUCUAGAGGGCAUUUACACCCAGCACUAUGCAUAUAACACUAUACAUAUAUUAUAAACACAUGUAUGCAUACACACACACACACACACACAUAUAUAUAUAUUUGUUCAUUGCCACAUACCCAAUGCCUGAAAGAAUGCCUAGAAGAAACAGGUGUUUAAAAAAACAUUUGUUUGGGCUUCCCUGGUGGCGCAGUGGUUGAGAAUCUGCCUGCGAAUGCAGGGGACACGGGUUCGAGCCCUGGUCUGGGAAGAUCCCGCAUGCCGCGGAGCAACUGGACCGUGAGCCACAGUUACUGAGCCUGCGCGUCUGGAGCCUGUGCUCCACAGAGAACAAGAGAGGCAGCGAUAGUGAGAGGCCCGCGCACGGCGAUGAAGAGUGGACCCCGCUUGCCACAACUAGAGAAAGCCCUCGCACAGAAACGAAGACCCAACACAGCCAUAAAUAAAUUAAUUAAUUAAAAAAAAUUAAAAAACACAUUUGUUUAAUAAAUGAAUGAAUAAACUAAAUUUAAAAAAAAAGCCCUUGCACUCUGUGGCAACUGCUAUCGUCAUAUUUUUUUCCAAUCUUAUUUUUCUACACUUUUGAUUAGUUGAGUCAUAUUAUAUAGACAAUUCUAUAUGCUGCUCAAAGCAAAACACACAUAAAACAAAACUUAGUAUAGCAUGUGCUGUGUGCCCCUGGCCCAACCAAUUCACCACAUAGAGCCCCAGUUUCUUCCUCUGAAAAACAGACAUAUGGUGACAGGGUUGUGGUGAAAAUCCAAUGGUAAAUCUCUUACCGUUAUUCCAGAGGCAUAACUGCACAAUACAUUGUAGCUAUUAGAAUUUUAGGAUCAGUAGUAUCAGUAGUGCCCCCAGUCUAGAGAGGGGUUAACUAACUUGCUACAGUCAUACCUGAGGCCCACACUCUGGUCUGCCCGACCCCAGGCUCUUUCCAUCUCCACCUUCAGCCUCAAACCAUACCUGGCACCAUGCUGGGUCCUGAGACUUCAGAGAAACUGAAAGCUUCCUCUGGCAGCUGGAGUUGGAGUGAAUCUGUCAUCACUUGCCACGAUGAUGCUGCAUAACAAAAACCUUACCGAACCUCAGUGUCACACUGUUCGCAUUGAUUUAACAGGUUAUGAGUCUGGGGGUCAGUGACUUAGGCUGGGCUCUGCCAGACGGUUCUUCUGGUUGUGGCUGGGCUCACCCACAUGUCUGCCAGUUGGCUGCAGGUUGGUAGACCCAGGGUGGACACAGCUGGGACAACUGGUGACCUUGGCUUUACCCCACAUGGCCCACCCUCCGGCAGGCUGUCCUG